GUCAAGUUGACAGCAUGAACUUUUGAUGUGAUGUGAGGAAAAUGGCAUUCUAUCUCUGUGUUCUUCCUCCCCAAAAUUUGUAACCACCAUCUAAUCAUGAGGAAAACACCAUACAAGUCCAAAUUGAGGAAGAUUCUACAAAAUGCCUGAUUAAUAUUCAUCGAAACUGUCAAGGUCAUCAAAAGCAAGGAAAGUCUGAGAAACUGCCACAGCCUAAAGGCAGUCCAGGGAAACAUGAUGACUCAGUGGUAUUCUGGGUGGGUUUCUGGAACAGAAAAAGGACAACAGUGUUAAUAUCUGGGUCAAACAUCUGGGCAGCAACAUCAGAAAGCCCCACUGCUGUGCUUCAGGGUCACUCUUAUCACUCCAUAAAGGUACCCUGAGCCACUAUCUAAAUGGUCUGCUUACCUUAUGAAGACACCAUAAGGAGGGAUAACGUGUGGUGAGCACAGGUGAAGAGCUAGAGGCCUGAAACUAGACGGGGAGGGAGAAGCCAGCCAUGCCUGCAUCCAGGGCUGAACUCAGCCUCCCGGCAUCUGUGCAGAGGCAUCAGUCAGGCCACAGCUAACUGCAGGCCCAGCUAACAUUAUGUGGAACAGGAGAAUUGCCCAGAUCUUCCCAGUCAACCAAGAUCAUAAAAUUGUUUUCAGCUAUUAAGUUUGAAUACAUGAAAUAAGGAGAUAAAAAUACUGACUGGGACUCUGAAUGAAAGAAUUAGUAGAUUAGAUUAGUGAUUCUCAAAAGACUUUGUUGGAUGCAUAUGUGUCCACAAAAUA
rnacentral:lncRNA from 1 species